GGCCAAUGGUCAACGUAACUGCUACGCCCACGUGGUCUGGCAGUCUUCCUUUCCAUCCUUCCUAUCCCCAUUCCUUCACACUCACAUUGGUUCUUCCCGUGAGCAGUCACCAAAAAUUCUCCCUCCGGUCCUGAAGAAGAACGAAGGUUCGAAACGUUGACCA